rnacentral:rRNA from 1 species
GACGAACGCUGGCGGCGUGCUUUACACAUGCAAGUCGAACGGUGAAGGUGGAGCUUGCUCCGCCGGAUCAGUGGCGAACGGGUGAGUAACACGUGGGCAACCUGCCCCUAACUUUGGGAUAACUACUCGAAAGAGUAGCUAAUACCGGAUAUGAAGUCUGUAGGCAUCUACGGACUUGGAAAGUUUUUCGGUUAGGGAUGGGCCCGCGGCGUAUCAGUUUGUUGGUGCGGUAGUGGCUCACCAAGGCGACGACGGGUAGCCGGCCUGAGAGGGCGACCGGCCACACUGGGACUGAGACACGGCCCAGACUCCUACGGGAGGCAGCAGUGGGGAAUAUUGCGCAAUGGGCGAAAGCCUGACGCAGCAACGCCGCGUGCGGGAUGAAGGCCUUCGGGUUGUAAACCGCUUUCAGCAGGGAAGAAGCGAAAGUGACGGUACCUGCAGAAGAAGCACCGGCUAACUACGUGCCAGCAGCCGCGGUAA